GUAGGGAAUCUUCCACAAUGGACGCAAGUCUGAUGGAGCAACGCCGCGUGAGUGAAGAAGGUUUUCGGAUCGUAAAGCUCUGUUGUUGGUGAAGAAGGAUAGGAGCAGCAACUGGUUUCUAUUUGACGGUAAUCAACCAGAAAGUCACGGCUAACUACGUGCCAGCAGCCGCGGUAAUACGUAGGUGGCAAGCGUUGUCCGGAUUUAUUGGGCGUAAAGCGAGCGCAGGCGGAAUGAUAAGUCUGAUGUGAAAGCCCACGGCUCAACCGUGGAACUGCAUCGGAAACUGUCAUUCUUGAGUGCAGAAGAGGAGAGUGGAACUCCAUGUGUAGCGGUGGAAUGCGUAGAUAUAUGGAAGAACACCAGUGGCGAAGGCGGCUCUCUGGUCUGCAACUGACGCUGAGGCUCGAAAGCAUGGGUAGCGAACAGGAUUAGAAACCCUAGUAGUCC
rnacentral:rRNA from 1 species